UAAGUCCUCAUGGCCCUUACAUCCCGGGCUACACACCGUGCUCAAUGGCAGGUACAGAGGGCUGCGAAGCCGCGAGGUGGAGCGAAUCCCAGAAAACCUGUCUCAGUCCGGAUUGAAGUCUGCAACUCGACUUCAUGAAGGCGGAAUCGCUAGUAACCGCGAAUCAGCAGGUCGCGGUGAAUACGUUCCCGGGCCUU
rnacentral:rRNA from 1 species